CAAUUGUGUCCUCUCAAAAAAAUCUGAAAAGAUGAUCUUGACCAAGAAGGUCCAGAUCCAAAUAAAACGCCCUAGCUUUAUAGAUAGGGUUUACUGAGCCUUCAUUUUCACCUUUCCCAAAUGUUGCCGUGGAGAGCUAUCGCUACUCUUGUCUUCCGAUUCCUCAUUCUUUGGAUCAUCAUUCUGUCCAAAGAAACGGGCUCAAUUGUGCCCUCUCAAAAAAAUUGAAAAGAUAAUUCAACCAAAAAUGGUUCAGAUCCAAAUAAAACGUCUGAAUCGUAGCUAGCAGGUCCCUUCUUCUACGUAUGGGUAGUCCACCACUUAUCCAUAUCUACAGAGAGCAGAAUAGACUUGCGGAUAGCUUAGCAAGAAGGGCCAUCACUACUGCACUACCAUCCAGCCUAGCUUUUAUCUCUCUGGUUAUGUCUAUUACUACUUUUUGGGUACCUCCUCAAGACCCUUUACAAAUUUUGUGCGGUGACGAACGAGGAGACAUUACUACUAGACGUGUUAAGGCCUAUGGGGUGUUGCCGCCUAUCGUCUCUGUUAAUAUACCUACUAGUUUGCCUACUAAUAUCUUGGCUUGGCCUAAUACUAAUGCUGGAUGUCCUGUAAAUAUAGCACCAAGUGCAGAUACUAUGGUGACAGUGCCACCAAACUCUUCUCUGUAGCGUUUUGUUAUGAUGCUAAUAUAUCUAUUUUAUAUUACCAAAAAAAAAAAAAAGAGAGAUGGAUGGCAAUUUUUAUGAUUUUCUUUUCUUUUUCUCUAAUUCGUUUUGGAGACAAUAUGUAUGUUGGGAUUCGUUUUAGUAAUAAGUACAUAUGCAAUGCUGGAUCCUUGGGGAAUCUUCUUAUUGAAUAUUGUUCACAAAAUUAAUUAGGCCCCCACCUAAUAUUUCACAAUAGAAACAAAAAAAAAAAGGUACACUCAAUAAUUGUCUCUUACGCUAAAUUAGGGU